AUGCAAGUCGAGCGGAAAGGCCCUUCGGGGUACUCGAGCGGCGAACGGGUGAGUAACACGUGAGCAACCUGCCCUAGGCUUUGGGAUAACCCUCGGAAACGGGGGCUAAUACCGAAUAGGACCUCUGACCGCAUGGUUGGUGGUGGAAAGUUUUUCGGCCUGGGAUGGGCUCGCGGCCUAUCAGCUUGUUGGUGGGGUGAUGGCCUACCAAGGCGACGACGGGUAGCCGGCCUGAGAGGGCGACCGGCCACACUGGGACUGAGACACGGCCCAGACUCCUACGGGAGGCAGCAGUGGGGAAUAUUGCACAAUGGGCGGAAGCCUGAUGCAGCGACGCCGCGUGAGGGAUGACGGCCUUCGGGUUGUAAACCUCUUUCAGCAGGGACGAAGCGUAAGUGACGGUACCUGCAGAAGAAGCGCCGGCCAACUACGUGCCAGCAGCCGCGGUAAGACGUAGGGCGCGAGCGUUGUCCGGAUUUAUUGGGCGUAAAGAGCUCGUAGGCGGCUUGUCGCGUCGACUGUGAAAACCCGCAGCUCAACUGCGGGCCUGCAGUCGAUACGGGCAGGCUAGAGUUCGGUAGGGGAGACUGGAAUUCCUGGUGUAGCGGUGAAAUGCGCAGAUAUCAGGAGGAACACCGGUGGCGAAGGCGGGUCUCUGGGCCGAUACUGACGCUGA
rnacentral:rRNA from 1 species